AUACGGAGGGUGCAAGCGUUAUCCGGAAUUACUGGGCGUAAAGGGUGCGUAGGCGGCUUGAUAAGUCGGAUGUGAAAGCCCCGGGCUUAACCUGGGAAUUGCAUUCGAUACUGUCAGGCUAGAGUAUGUCAGAGGUUGGCGGAAUUCCUGGUGUAGCGGUGAAAUGCGUAGAUAUCAGGAGGAACACCAGUGGCGAAGGCGGCUAACUGGGACAAUACUGACGCUGAGGCACGAAAGCGUGGGGAGCAAACAGGAUUAGAUACCCUAGUAGUCC
rnacentral:rRNA from 1 species